rnacentral:rRNA from 1 species
UACGUAGGGUGCGAGCGUUGUCCGGAAUUAUUGGGCGUAAAGGGCUCGUAGGCGGUUUGUCGCGUCGGGAGUGAAAACCUUGGGCUUAACUCAGGGCUUGCUUUCGAUACGGGCAGACUAGAGGUAUGCAGGGGAGAACGGAAUUCCUGGUGUAGCGGUGAAAUGCGCAGAUAUCAGGAGGAACACCGGUGGCGAAGGCGCCGCUCUGGGCCGAAACUGACGCUGAGGAGCGAAAGCAUGGGUAGCAAACAGG